GACAGAGGUGCCGAGCGUUAGGCGGAAUCACUGGGCUUAAAGCGUGUGUAGGCGGAUCGUUAAGUGCCUUGUGAAAUCCCACGGCUUAACCGUGGAACUGCUUGGCAUACUGGCGAUCUUGAGCAACCUAGGGGCGAGCGGAACAAAUGGUGGAGCGGUGAAAUGCGUAGAUAUCAUUUGGAACGCCAAUGGUGAAAACAGCUCGCUGGGGGUUUGCUGACGCUGAGACACGAAAGCCAGGGGAGCAAACGGG
rnacentral:rRNA from 1 species